UGGGGAAUUUUGGACAAUGGGGGAAACCCUGAUCCAGCCAUCCCGCGUGUGCGAUGAAGGCCUUCGGGUUGUAAAGCACUUUUGGCAGGAAAGAAACGUCGCGGGUUAAUACCCCGCGAAACUGACGGUACCUGCAGAAUAAGCACCGGCUAACUACGUGCCAGCAGCCGCGGUAAUACGUAGGGUGCAAGCGUUAAUCGGAAUUACUGGGCGUAAAGCGUGCGUAGGCGGUUCGGAAAGAAAGAUGUGAAAUCCCAGAGCUUAACUUUGGAACUGCAUUUUUAACUACCGGGCUAGAGUGUGUCAGAGGGAGGUGGAAUUCCGCGUGUAGCAGUGAAAUGCGUAGAUAUGCGGAGGAACACCGAUGGCGAAGGCAGCCUCCUGGGAUAACACUGACGCUCAUGCACGAAAGCGUGGGGAGCAAACAGGAUUAGAUACCCUGGUAGUCCACGCCCCUAAACGAUGUCAACUAGCUGUUGGGGGCCUUCGGGCCUUGGUAGCGCAGCUAACGCGUGAAGUUGACCGCCUGGGGGAGUACGGUCGCAAGAUUAAAAACUCAAAGGGAAUU
rnacentral:rRNA from 1 species